rfam:Haemonchus contortus, ISE/inbred ISE, WGS project CAVP01000000 data, contig: Hcontortus_contig_pathogens_Hcontortus_scaffold_15480
AGCCCAACUCUGAAGUAAGGUGGAUUACUAAGGUCAGCUGAUCCUACUAUUCUACUGUACGUCGAAAUUGAGCCC